rnacentral:lncRNA from 1 species
CAAUAAGCAAUAUAGUGUGGAAAAACAACUAUUUAUUGAAAAGAAAAAAAAACCCAGAGUAAAUACGUUUUUUGCUACAAUAUAUUUCAAUCUCAUCGAAUGGCUAAGGCACAUGAAAAUAGAUACAAAGUAUGUUGGAAACUACAAUAAAUGCUAGCCUUAAUCACUACCUGGUCAACAAAUUGGGCAGGAUGUGAUAUCAAGUUGAUAGUCUUUGACACAAAAUUCUGCAGCAGACGGAUGAAUGUCAGACAGUCCAAGUAUUACUCCAUGUUUUUCCCCUUGAGUUGCUUAGAGUUGAGGGAGUACAUGUCUCACCCUCUCAACCCCUGUACAGACCUGUUUCUAUUAAUACAGGUGCAUUACAGUGAAGAGGCAUCAACGUCUAUCAAAAAAGUUAAUCUAAUUGAGUGACCACAUAUAAGCUCCUCGACUGAUCAUUGGAUGAGCUUAGAUCUUUAGAAAAUCAUCGUUGCAAACAGUCUUAAACUUGAUUAAACAGUAAACACACAUCCAAAGUAAAAAAGCUAGAUAAGAUAUAAAAGCAUAAAUUACAUAUAAAGGCAGAGUAUUAGAUCCCAAAUCCACAAAAAACCAAAUUCCCCUAUAUGCAUUUCACACGUACGUUCUCACAUUUGGAAAUUAAUUGUUUUACCUUGAAAGUAUGGUGUAUUUGGAGAUUUUUUUGUUAAAUCCAAUUGACUCUAAGUUUUGGUAUACGCCAAGAGUUAGUCAUCAAUACUAUAUGGCACAUAUAAGAGCAAAGGUUAUUGGAAAUCAACAUCCUACUAUGAUGUUUCACCUAACCUCUUAUUGAAAACCCAAAUUAAAUGGUUACUGUUUCAUGUAGUUGCAUUGUACACUGCUUACAUAUAUGAAGUAAAUGUCGAAUACAGUUCUAGGGAACAAUUAAGAAAUCACAUAUAUAGGAUACUCACAUCCAAAACAAUGCAAACUGCUAUUUUAAACAAACAAACAAAAAUUGGAUGAUACCUUUGCAUGCCUUGAGAGUCAGAAUGGAAAAGAAAGAGACGAAAAGAGCAUAACUGAAAGUGCGGAGAAGCAAGUAAUAGUGGCAUAUGGGACGUUGACAUUUCCAUUUCCUACCAGGUUCUAGUAUUUGUUUACCAUGCAAGAUUAACUCAAUCAUUUGAUGAUCCACAUUUCAGUCUCUCGCGCUUAAAACCUAUUCAAAGUAAUAGUUUUUUGUUAACCGAAACUACAACUUUUCAUGUCUAUUUCUUUGUUAACUGAACAUACAAUUUAUUCUCUUCACAGAUGAAAGGUAUUUCCAAAGGAAAUAAGAAAAAUACAGCCCAUAAUGUUUCUUGCUAGAAGAAGAUACUACAGACUAUAUUUCCUAAAUAAGUAAUAUAAUGUCACAAGUUCAAGACAUUUAAGUCAACAACAUUCUCAGCUAAAAAAAUCAUUUGAGUGCAAAAAAAGUCAUAGAGACAAAGCACGUUUGGAAAAACUUAAUGACAUCGAGAUGAUCAUAGAUUAAAUGAUGAGUUCACAAAAAUAAAUAACUUAGGUACUCAGAAAACAUUGUAAGUUUGUAACAAAUAGCAGGUCAUUUCCAUCUGCGCCCCAUGUGAAUUUACCUUAAUAUGCAAUUAAUCUAGGAGCAUGAACAGACUAAGAUUCCAAACUACCAAACUGUGUUUAUAUAAAGCACCUGCAGUUCAUGUACAUUUGAGUAUCGAGAAGACUAAUAUCAUGGGAUGACACCAUUAGAUCUUGCUGUUUGGGAAGGUGAAUCAGGCGUUCAUAUUCUUUAUCCUGUUACAUCUCCAAUUCCAACACAUUCGGACAGGAGCAUUGGUGGAAUAAUGAGGUAUUUAUGUUCAGAGGAAGCAAUAGAACAUAUAAUCUAAAAAAAAAUAGAAAAGAUAAUCUAAAAGGAAUUGAGACGUUCAAGGAGAGAAAAUCGAAGGGAGAAAAGACAUUGUGGAGAAAGAAUUAUCUCACAGCAGAAUUUGGUAGUCGAAGGCAGUUGAGAUAGACCCCAACAAUGCUAUUGUACUAUCUAAUAAAAGUCUUUGUUGGGUAUUGCUUGAAAAAUAGGGAUAAUGCUUGAAGUGACACAUAGGGUUUUUUUGUAGUUUGCACCUGAAUGGCCAAAGGCAUACUACAUUGAUUUUUUUUUUUUUUUGACAUGCAGAAUUGGCCUGAGUUGAACAAUGUAGGGCUGGUUUCGCUAAUCUGGAAUCUGAGACAAUUUCUAUCUUGAAUGCAAUAUCAAUGCAAUUUUGCCAUGUAGAGAAAGCAUGAUGCACUUGCCUCUAGAUAUUUUUCACGAUAUGACCGUAGUUUGGCGUUUUCAAUUAAUAUAUUAUUUCUAUCCUUCCCUAUACCAAACAGACUUGUAUGAGAAUAAGUCAUCCAAAUCAUUCAGAGGACAUGGAUGCUUGUUUUACAAAUGACAAUAUCAUGCAGGGGCAAGGCACUCAGUUAAUCCAACAUCGCAGGUUGCAUCAGUCCAUAGAUUAUUAGCAAACUGACAGCUAAAGGAAAGGUGAUCAAAGGUUUCUGAAUUCACUAUAAGUGGCAGCUUAUGGAGGGAGUGAACAAAUUCAACAACAAUUCAUCCCUUGCGCAAUUUCAUUGAAAUCCAAGCUUGCAUUAUCAAAGCCAACACUUGUAGAAUAAUAAAAAAAAAUCUGUUAUAGAUAAUUACCUGCAACUGCAAUAUCCGUUCUCAAUUGAUAUGUCCAUGCAUUUUAAAAACUGCAAUCAAACAAUUAUAAAUAACACAUUUUAAUGUUUUAUUCAAAGAAACCAUGCAAUAAUAUUUCGAAUUUAGAAGUCUUACAUGAUAAUCAUUUUCAUUAAUUUUUAAUUGAAUUUUUUCAUUUAUUUUUAUCUUCUUACUAUUCUAGAAAUCAUCUGGGUACAAUAUAUUCUGAUUAAAUGUCAUAAAACGAACCUGGAUACCAUCCAUUAUCAAUACCCUCAACAAUUAGUUGAUUUCUAUGAUUUCUGGGAAUGCACAUGAGUUCCUCUCUUCAAGUCAUCGAUUUGUUCUCUUUGUCCAUCAUUAAUCUAUUAAUCACAAAGAUUAUACCAUUUAUUAGUAAUCAAUGAUAAACAAAAAUAUAUGUUGGGAAAAAAAUAAAAAUAGAUCAAGUAUAUAAAAAUAGAAUCAAACCAAUCCAUAAUAUGAUGCUUUUGUAUUUGACAUUAUUCUAUUUUUAUGAUGGCUUGGAUCUCAGCUAAAUGCAUAAUAUUCCAAUUUAACUGCGAAUAUUAACCGUUAAGUAGGAAAAAGCGGGAAUAUUAUGAGUUUACCAAUGAGUCUAGACUUUGCAAGAUAUACAUUCAAAGAGAAAUUUAAAAGUAGAAGAAAUAUAGGCUUAGAAGAUGAAACUCCAAAAUACCGACACUAACUUGGAUGGAAAAGUAUGGAGAUUAGAAGAAAUUAAUGGUGGCACCAUGUUGCCUCAAUGGAAUUGCUAAUUGGCAUGUCUGUGGUCGGUGGUUUGGCCUUUAUGUCAGCAAGUCCAUUACUUGAGACAUUCCCACUAUCGUCCCUAAAGAAAGUUUACAACAUGCCAAAGUAUUUUAGCAUAACAAACAAUGAGUAGUUUACAACAGAUAAAAUAAUUUAUUUGCUGGUAGCAAAUAAAUGUUUUAGGUCUUAAGUCAUGAAUACCUUGAGACGGAGAAACGUAAACUGACCUGAGUUUACAGAUCAAACUGGUGUUGUAGCUAUCUAAAAGGGAAUCGUUAAUUUCAGGAAGGUGGAAUGUGUCUGAGGGAGCUGCCGACAAACAUUCUUGAAUCACAAUAAUCCUAUAACUACAAACUUAAUACUCAAACACAUAUAGAAAUUAGCACUCUCAAUGUGAAAUUGACCUUACAAUGACUUCAUAUGAAGAAGGACAUCCUAUGUAUAGACAAAUGUGUUUGUAACAAUUAAUUUGCAUCCCUUUAUAUUGAAUAGGUCGAGGAGCAUUUUGGUAGCGUCAGUUUGCUUUCCCGAGACUUAGAAUAACUUAUUAGCUUAGAUUAUGAUAAUCAAUCAAGACGCAACACACAUUAUUAUUCUCAUAACAUCUCUCCUUCUUAUCUCAUUGUAGUAGUAAAUCAUGUAAUUAAACUACAACUCUUCUAGCCAUUGAAACAUGAAAAUAGCCAAUAACAAUGAUGAAGGUUCAAUAAUGCUUAUAAUAUCAAUCAAAAUCAUCUCUAGAUCCUUGAUGCUUAUUAUAAAAUAUUUGUGAUGGUAAUUGGACUUAAAUUCGAUUAACAAAAAUAUUGAAUUUAAUAAAAUAAUCAAUCAAUUGAAAACCACACUAUCACUAUUCUACCACAUAUAUUCUCCGCAUGAGAAAGAAGUGUACCUGAUUGUGGGUUUCUAUUGCCAUGAUGAGGGAAGGCCACAAAAGGAGUAGAAAAUUUUGUUAAGUGAGUUAGUUGAUCUUAUUAAGUUUCAAAAUUUUAUUUAUCAAUUGAAAUACACCUUCUACACAGCAUGUUUUUGCUUCUGUUUUUCCUAGCCAUUGCAUCAACCAUGUAUUUAUGUUACGUUUUGUUUUGCAAUAAUCAAUUGUGAUUCCAUAUAUCAAGAUGAUGAUAAUAAGAUAAAGCCAAGAUUGAUUCUUAAGUCCCUAGACAACGCAGACUUUCUAAUGGUUUAUAUGAGAGAAGAAGAUGUGUUUCAGUCGGUUGGUAAUUCAUGAUACCAUAUGCGGAAAAACAAAUCAACAAAUCUGAUUACCUCCCUCUGAUUGAGGAACUUCAACUUCAGCGUUAAUUUUUCCUGGAAAUAAAUUGGUAGAGAAACAAACAAAGU